CAGCCGCCGCGGUAAUACGUAAGUGGCAAGCGUUAUCCGGAAUCACUGGGUGUAAAGGGUGUGUAGGCGGUAAUUUAAGUUUUGCGUUUAAUUUCAGGGCUCAACCCUGAAUGUGCGUGAAAUACUGAAUUGCUUGAGUGAUGAAGAGGAAGUUGGAACUCCAGGUGAAGCGGUGAAAUGUGUAGAUAUCUGGGGGAACACCAAUGGCGAAGGCAGGCUUCUGGUCAUCAACUGACGCUGAGACACGAAAGCGUGGGGAGCAAACAGGAUUAGAUACCCUGGUAGUCCACGCAGUAAACGAUGUUCACUAGGUGUGAGAGGUAUCGACCCCUUUCGUGCCGCAGUUAACGCAUUAAGUGAACCACCUGGGGAAUACGACCGCAAGGUUAAAACUCAAAGAAAUUGACGGGGGCCCGCACAAGCGGUGGAGUAUGUGGUUUAAUUCGAUGCAACCCGAAGAACCUUACCAGAACUUGACAUGUCGAUGCAAGGCUAUAGAAGUAUAGUCCCCUGUACAGCAAUGUAUAGCGUUGAGCACAGGAGGUGCAUGGCC
rnacentral:rRNA from 1 species